AAUACCGCGUGUGUGAAGAAGGCCUGCGGGUUGUAAAGCACUUUCAGUGGGGAGGAGGAUUGCUUGUUUAAGAGAUGAGUAAUUGGACGUUACCCACAGAAGAAGCACCGGCUAACUCCGUGCCAGCAACGUCGGUGACUGAGCGGGCUGGCAAGGCGCAUA
rnacentral:rRNA from 1 species